rnacentral:rRNA from 1 species
UACGUAGGGUGCAAGCGUUGUCCGGAAUCAUUGGGCGUAAAGAGCGUGUAGGCGGUCCGGUAAGUCCGCUGUGAAAGUCGGGGGCUCAACCCUCGAAUGCCGGUGGAUACUGUCGGGCUAGAGUGCGGAAGAGGCGAGUGGAAUUCCUGGUGUAGCGGUGAAAUGCGCAGAUAUCAGGAGGAACACCAAUAGCGAAGGCAGCUCGCUGGGACGUUACUGACACUGAGGCGCGAAAGCGUGGGGAGCGAACAGG